UGACGACCAUAUCACGUUGAAAAACGGUUCCUGUACGAUCAUCGAAGUUAAGAAAUGUCGGUCCUGGUCAGUACUUAGAUGGGUGACGGCAUGGGAAUACCAGAAG